UUCUAUCGUUACCCCACUGUUCUCCCCCUUCCUGUUGGCUCUUGCUCUUCUUUUUGUCUGUUUAGAUAUAACGACAAUUGCUGCUUAAGCUUUCAAUAGAUGUCUCUGCGUCGAAUAAGGAAUUCAAAGUAGGCAAUCCACGGUUACUGGUGGAAGUAUAAUUUCUCUCCUUCAUUCAUAUUUACUUUGCUUGAUAGUUACAAUGCCAAGUUAAAGCUAGGUUGUAUAGAUCUACUGCUUUUGCCUGGGGAUCAAUUUCAGGAGUUUGUGCUGUGAUUGUAUCUGAAUUCAAUCUACAACUUACUCACAAUGAAAACAAUGAAAGUGUGAGUCUGCACCUUCAUGUCCAAUUUUCCUGGUAAAACAAUAUUCUGUUGCUCAUGACCCUCAACCGCCUAACAUGUAAGUUUUUCACUUCCAAUCCUGCUGAAUAUGCCAACUCUUAGAAGGAUUUAAUUGAAAAAUAAGCUCAAUUCAGGUCAGUCUUUUUGUUUAUAUGGAUUUGUGCAAUCUAACUGAACAUCCUUUUAAAUACAUUCACCUUCUGCAAACAGGCAAAGCUCUAUUUUGCCCAAGUCUGUAGUUGGGAAAGGCUUAGGUUUUUGUUGUUGUUUUGGUAUAAACACUCUUCCCCUCAAGCACCAUGACCUUCUGCGCAUGAACUUGUUGCUAGGGUGCUGGAAUACCUUAUUAGCCUUCUUCUUCCGCUGACCAUAAACAUUUGUAUAUGAAAUUUCCAAUGGAGAUUGGAGAAUGCUCUAUAGGAUGGUGAUUUGCUCACAUGCAUUUAUUUGGAGGAGUUUAAACUGUACCCAUUGCUCUGCUUAAUCCUUUUUUCUUUCUUUUUUUGCCUAAUAUUUGGAAUGCUAUGUGUUGGUGUUUGCAAUUCCAAUUUGAUUUUUUCCC